AGCACACCGAGCACGUGAUGGGGACGACGGGGACCGACGGCCGGGCGGGGUCCCGCCGGUGGCCCCGCCCGAAAGAUGCGGCGCCGCGGGCGAAACUUUCUAGAAUAAAUGCGUAAGCUGAGGAGCCUGGGCACUGUUAGAGAACGCAGGAUUGAAGCACUGAGGUCCUCACCAGACUGAUCUGAUACGUGCCACUGGCAAAGACCAGCCAAGGGGCAUCGGUCUGACCCCAAACACAGGUGCAGUUCACCUCAGCCAUGUACCUAAGAGGAGUUCUCUGCUUGCAGUUUUCUCUACUUCCCCUUCUCAGGCUCUUGAUGUUUCAAAGAAAAACAACCCCUGACUACUGGCACCUGACUGGAACACACAGGCGUGCUAUUUGAACCUGCUCGUUUCCAUACUGCAGAGCUAAUGGUGCUGUGCUGAAUGCUGAGCGCAGUGUGAAAGCCCUCACUGCGCUGCUGGGAGGAGCAAUCAGGAAGGAGAGGAAAGGCAGAACAGGAGGACUUAUUUGGUUCACAAAUGUGUGGGUAUUGAAACAGGAAGAGAUGCCAGAGUAAUCCAGGCUGACAUUCCCACAAGCAAAUGUUUCUCCCAGAUCUGGACUAAAGCACAUCUUUUAAAGAGCUAUCUGAUCUAACCUUCAGUAUAUCAAGCAGUGGUGAGAGAAAAGAUUUCCUUGUAGGCUGUUCCUGUGUUCUCCUACCAAGUGUGUUACAUUUUAUUUGAAAGUUAAUUCAUCUAAAUUUGACCUUCUGGUUAUUUUCUCUUGCUCUGUGACUUUGAUUUUAUUAAAAAAGUUCACCACCACAAAUACCAAGCACGUCUCACUGUGCAGGGAUCACAUCACCCCUUACCUUCCCUUCUGCAGCCAGUGGCUGAGCUCCCAUGCAGCUAUUUAUAAGGAUUGUUUUCUACUGUCUGGGUAAUAUUUAUGUUUUCCCUUCAAAUUCUCUCCAGCUAUUUCUAUCUCCCUCUUGGCAUACAGAGACCAAAACUGGCAUCCACCACUGUUAGUCCCUGUUUCACUCAUACUGACUUGCACUUCCCUAGCCCACGUUUUUACAAAAACAACAGGAUUGUUUUUUUCCCUCACUGUGUUGCUGUAAUAACUCAUCUUCAGGCAACACAAAUGUUGGCACUAUGACACUCCUUGGACAUUGAUUUAGAAGAUGUGUCCCUAUUGCAUGACUUGUGCUCUUUUCUCUCUGCUACUUGUCUGCAUUAGAUGAUAAAGUAUUAUGCUUAACUAUUCAACCCCUGUUGCUUGAUGAAGCUGUCUCCAGACACACAGUUACAGACAGCAAAGAAACCCACUGUUGGGAGAAAUUCUGCCUCUGCAUCUUUUUCUGGCCUCUUGGUUGUCCUUCCUUGUCUUCUUCUUUCUGUUCUUGUGUGCCCUCAGCUGAGCAUCCCUGGUAGAGUUCCUAUUCUCUUGCACUAGGUUAAUAAUACAAAUAACCUCACAGGGGCAUCUAGGAAUUGUAUGCAGAGUAAGAAAUGGUAUUUGACCACAGCUGUACCCUCUCUGCUAUCCAACAAAAGUACACAUUCAAGUGGGACACACAUCCAAAGUGUCUAGCUAGCAACUUAGCCCCAUGCUGACCUACAAAGCCUUGCAGAGGUUGAGUGCAGCUGAGAGCCAGCUCCAGUCUGGAGAACAGCCCGUUCUUUCACCCAGUGGCUGAACCCUGUUUACAUGUGGGGCUCCCACCACACUUACUCAGCAAAAUGCUGGCAUACCUCUGCAGCAUUCCCACAGCCAGCAGAAUGUUCCAUGCCACUAAAAAGCCAUGACAGUGUAUACGUGUUCCAGCUGCUCCUGACAGCUCCCACCCUGCUCCCCCACAGACAGCAUAUUUCACUCUAUCCAUUCAUGAGGACGCAUUCAGCCACAUUACAGGAAACGUUCAGCUCCUCUCCUCUCCUCUCCUCUCCUCUCCUCUC